GCCCUCGUAGUUCAAUGGAUAAAACAGGAGCUUGCGGAGCUUCAGUUGCAGGUUCGAGUCCUGCCGAGGGCA
rnacentral:tRNA from 1 species